GGGGCUGUGGCGUAAUUGGUAGCGCGUGGUAUGUCUAUAAAUCUUAAGGUUAUCCGUUCAAGUCGGGUCAGCCUCA
rnacentral:tRNA from 1 species